rnacentral:snoRNA from 1 species
AAGACUAUACUUUCAGGGAUCAUUUCUAUAGUUCAUUACUAGAGAAGUCUCUCUGAUCCUGUAGAGCACCGGAAACACAAGAAGGAGGUACAGCAUUCUUUCCUGAGCGUGAGGCUGGCUCCUGGUGCUGCUUUAUUGCAGCUGCCAUUUGCCUUUGAUGAUCCCUCUUCUCUGCUCUCAUGCAGGGUGAGAGAGAGAGUGUGUGGUCUAAGUGG